rfam:Schistosoma margrebowiei strain Zambia genome assembly, scaffold: SMRZ_contig0000567
AUCCGGCUGACGAUUCCCAAACAGGACGAGACGAGCAUCCUGGAU